CAUAUCUGCAAUGUCUUCCACACGUUCACCUGGAACCUCCAAAUCUCAAGAUACACAACAUCUUUUCUU